UCUGGUUGAUCCUGCCGGACCUGACUGCUAUCGGAUUGAUACUAAGCCAUGCGAGUCAUUGUAGCAAUACAAGGCAGACGGCUCAGUAACGCGUAGUCAAUCUACCCUAUGGACGGGAAUAACCUCGGGAAACUGAGAAUAAUACCCGACAGAACAUUAUACCUGGAACGGUUUAUGUUUCAAAUGAUUUAUCGCCGUAGGAUGGGACUGCGGCCUAUCAGUUUGUUGGUGAGGUAAUGGCCCACCAAGACUAUUACAGGUACGGGCUCUGAGAGGAGUAGCCCGGAGAUGGGUACUGAGACACGGACCCAGGCCCUAUGGGGCGCAGCAGGCGAGAAAACUUUGCAAUGUGCGAAAGCACGACAAGGUUAAUCCGAGUGGUUUCUGCUAAAGAAACCUUUUGCUAGUCCUAGAAACACUAGUGAAUAAGGGGUGGGCAAGUUCUGGUGUCAGCCGCCGCGGUAAAACCAGCACCUCAAGUGGUCAGGAUGAUUAUUGGGCCUAAAGCAUCCGUAGCUCGUUUUGUAAGUUUUCGGUUAAAUCCAUACGCUUAACGUAUGGGCUGCCGGGAAUACUGCAUAACUAGGAAGUGGGAGAGGUAGACGGUACUCGGUAGGAAGGGGUAAAAUCCUUUGAUCUAUUGAUGACCACCUGUGGCGAAGGCGGUCUACCAGAACACGUUCGACGGUGAGGGAUGAAAGCUGGGGGAGCAAACCGGAUUAGAUACCCGGGUAGUCCCAGCUGUAAACUAUGCAAACUCAGUGAUGCAUUGGCUUGUGGCCAAUGCAGUGCUGCAGGGAAGCCGUUAAGUUUGCCGCCUGGGAAGUACGUACGCAAGUAUGAAACUUAAAGGAAUUGGCGGGGGAGCACCACAAGGGGUGAAGCCUGCGGUUCAAUUGGAUUCAACGCCGGG
rnacentral:rRNA from 1 species